AGCACAUUUCUUUUUCACAAGGGUAUUCAAAGUCUUCCAUACAAUAUGAAAUUUAAGUCAUUGCUCACUGAUUAUCUGCUGCAACUCUCAAAUCUCAUUCACAGUUGCGCAUAUUCAAAUAUGUCACGACAAAACGUAUCAGGUUUUAUAUCAAUGAUGGAAGAAAAAAUAAGUCGUACAGCUUUACUUGACAGUGAGUAAAUGAAGACAGAAUAUACAUUGUUGGAUAAGCAAAUAAUUUAACAUCAUUUUUGGUUUUAUGAAACAUUAUUUGUCCAACAACAAAACAAUCAGGAUUGCACGGUUGCGGUUAGAUUAGGUAACGUUUUCACUAUUCCUGCUGAAGAAGAAAUAAAUAAUUCAUGGCCUGUCACAAAACUGAUAUCUUGACAGCACAAUUUUCGGUUACAUGUUCGCUUGUGUGGGCAAUCACGUAACCUCUCUGCACGCCUCUCAGCAAGAUACUGACACAAUGAAACAAAACAAUUAUGUUCUGACUCUUCAGUAUAUCUACAAAAACAUAUUUCUGUUUAAGCACAUAUUUGAUUAAAACUGACAUUGGUGCUGCCAUGGGAAAGAAAUCGGCGAGAAAGGUCAACACUGAAUGGUUAGAUCCCAUAAUUUUCUACUUUCACUAAUAUGCAAGAAUAUAUUUUUGCUUAUUAG